CCCUUAGAUGUUCUGGGCGGCCCGCGCACUACAAUGGCGCUUUCAGCGAGUUCCUAUGUUGAAUUUUCCUGGGUAUUCUUGGAAGCGGCGUCUUGACUUGGGAUAGAUCCUCGUAAUUGUUGGUUUUGAACGAGGAAUUCCUUGUAAUCGCGGUUGAUCAGCUCGCGUUGAAUACGUCCCUGCCCUUUGUACACACCGCCCGUCGCUCCUACCGAUGAAUCGUCCGGUGAAGUUCACAGAGUGGCGGUUCGUGGAGUUGCUCGCGAAGUGAAAUGGACCUCACGAUUUAGAGGAAGGAGAAGUCGUAACA
rnacentral:rRNA from 1 species